rnacentral:rRNA from 1 species
ACGCUGGCGGUAGGCUUAACACAUGCAAGUCGGACGGAAACGACAAGAACAAUCACUUCGGUGUGCGUUCUUGGGCGUCGAGUGGCGGACGGGUGAGUAAUGCCUGGGAAUCUACCCUAAUGUUGGGGACAACAUAUGGAAACGUAUGCUAAUACCGAAUAUGAUCUACGGAUUAAAGGUGCCCUCUCCUUGGAAGGUAUCGCAUUAGGAUGAGCCCAGGUGAGAUUAGCUAGUUGGUGAGGUAAUGGCUCACCAAGGCAACGAUCUCUAGCUGGUUUGAGAGGAUGAUCAGCCACACUGGGACUGAGACACGGCCCAGACUCCUACGGGAGGCAGCAGUGGGGAAUAUUGCACAAUGAGCGAAAGCUUGAUGCAGCCAUACCGCGUGUGUGAAGAAGGCCCGAGGGUUGUAAAGCACUUUCAAUUGUGAGGAAGGUAGUGUAGUUAAUACCUGCAUUGCUUGACGUUAACUUUAGAAGAAGCACCGGCUAACUCUGUGCCAGCAGCCGCGGUAAUACAGAGGGUGCAAGCGUUAUUCGGAAUUACUGGGCGUAAAGCGCGCGUAGGCGGAAUAUUAAGUCAGUUGUGAAAGCCCUGGGCUCAACCUGGGAACUGCUUCUGAUACUGGUAUUCUAGAGUUUAGUAGAGGGAAGGGGAAUUCCUAGUGUAGCAGUGAAAUGCGUAGAUAUUAGGAGGAACAUCAGUGGCGAAGGCGCCUUCCUGGACUAAAACUGACGCUGAGGUGCGAAAGCGUGGGUAGCGAACGGGAUUAGAUACCCCGGUAGUCCACGCCGUAAACGAUGUCAACUAGUUGUUGGCCUUAUUAAAAAGGUUAGUAACGAAGCUAACGCGAUAAGUUGACCGCCUGGGG